rnacentral:rRNA from 1 species
UACAGAGGUCCCUAGCGUUGUUCGGAUUUACUGGGCGUAAAGGGCGCGUAGGCGGCAGGGCGUGUCAAGUGUGAAAUCUCCGGGCUCAACCCGGAAAGUGCGCUUGAAACUACCUUGCUUGGAGUACGGAAGAGGGAAUCGGAAUACAGGGUGUAGCGGUGAAAUGCGUUGAUAUCCUGUAGAACACCGGAGGCGAAGGCGGAUUCCUGGUACGUUACUGACGCUGAGGCGCGAAAGUCGGGGGAGCAAA